rnacentral:rRNA from 1 species
AGCGAACGCUGGCGGCAGGCCUAACACAUGCAAGUCGAACGGAGUGGCGGACGGGUGAGUAACACGUGGGAACGUGCCCUUUGGUUCGGAACCACUCAGGGAAACUUGAGCUAAUACCGGAUGCCAUUGGAGCGGGCCGCGUCUGAUUAGCUAGUUGGUGAGGUAAAGGCUAACCAAGGGGACGAUCAGUAGCUGGUCUGUGAGGAUGAUCAGCCACAUUGGGACUGAGACACGGCCCAAACUCCUACGGGAGGCAGGAGUGGGGAAUCUUGCCCAAUGGGCGAAAGGCUGACGCAGCCAUGCCGCGUGAAUGAUGAAGGUCUUAGGAUUGUAAAAUUCUUUCACCGGGGACGCGGUACCCGGAGAAGAAGCCCCGGCUAACUUCGUGCCAGCAGCCGCGGUAAUUC